rnacentral:lncRNA from 10 species
CUCAAUGUCACUGAUUUCUUGCCGUUUUGGAAAGUGACAAUAAAUUGGCUACCUACCAUUCUUGACCUUUUGACUUUGGAACCUCUGCUGACCAAAUCUUAGCUUGCCUUGUUUAAGUCAGCAGCUCUGGUAUCAUUCUGAUCCUCUCCCAGAGGGUCUGAAGCUUUCACUCACGCUCCUGAACGGGUAAGCUCCCCCUCUAGUGUUCACUGCUCAUCAGAUUAUUCCUCUAACAAAUAAGACAGAGAAUUGCCUGUUUUUUUUUGGUUCCCUAUCGAAGGACGGAGCUUGGGCCAACAUUUAUAACGGUUUAAUGACACAAAGAGGAAAAGUCUGGAGUACGAGAAGAAACCCUGGAAUUUUGAAGAGAGAUGAUGAAAAGGUGAGAAGGGAGUUCCAUUUUUUUUUUUAAAGGGCAAAAUUAAACAGAAGACAUGGAGAAUAAAGGGAAGAGGGAAAAGAACAAAUUAGGAAAGAGGAGAAUUAUCA